UGGGGAAUAUUGGACAAUGGGCGAAAGCCUGAUCCAGCCAUGCCGCGUGUGUGAAGAAGGUCUUCGGAUUGUAAAGCACUUUAAGUUGGGAGGAAGGGCAGUUUCCUAAUACGAAAUUGUUUUGACGUUACCGACAGAAUAAGCACCGGCUAACUCUGUGCCAGCAGCCGCGGUAAUACAGAGGGUGCAAGCGUUAAUCGGAAUUACUGGGCGUAAAGCGCGCGUAGGUGGUUUGUUAAGUUGAAUGUGAAAUCCCCGGGCUCAACCUGGGAACUGCAUCCAAAACUGGCAAGCUAGAGUAGGGCAGAGGGUGGUGGAAUUUCCUGUGUAGCGGUGAAAUGCGUAGAUAUAGGAAGGAACACCAGUGGCGAAGGCGACCACCUGGGCUCAUACUGACACUGAGGUGCGAAAGCGUGGGGAGCAAACA
rnacentral:rRNA from 1 species